UACGAAGGGGGCUAGCGUUGUUCGGAAUUACUGGGCGUAAAGGGCGCGUAGGCGGCGUGUCAAGUCAGGCGUGAAAGCCCCGGGCUCAACCUGGGAACCGCGCUUGAGACUGGCAUGCUCGAGUUCGGGAGAGGAUGGUGGAAUUCCCAGUGUAGAGGUGAAAUGCGCAGAUAUCAGGAGGAACACCGGUGGCGAAGGCGGUUCUCUGGGCCUGUACUGACGCUGAGGAACGAAAGCGUGGGGAGCGAACAGG
rnacentral:rRNA from 1 species